CUGCAGCUCAAGUGGCGACCGCUAUUAUUGGGCCUAAAACGUUCGUAGCCGGCUGAGUAAAUGCUUGGGUAAAUCGUGCCGCUUAACGGUACGAAUUCCGGGUAGACUGCUCAGCUUGAGACCGGGAGAAGCUAGAGGUACUCCUGGGGUAGAGGUGAAAUUCUGUAAUCCUGGGGGGACCACCAGUGGCGAAGGCGUCUAGCUAGAACGGGUCUGACGGUGAGGGACGAAACCCUGGGGCGCAAACCGGAUUAGAUACCCGCGUAGUCC
rnacentral:rRNA from 1 species